rnacentral:rRNA from 1 species
GAACUUAAAUGAAUUGACGGGGGCCCGCACAAGCGGAGGAACAUGUGGUUAAUUCGAUGAUACGCGAGGAACCUUACCUGGGCUUAAAUGUAGAGUGCAUUUUUUAGAGAUAGAAAUUCCCUUCGGGGCUUUCUGCAAGGUGCUGCAUGGUUGUCGUCAGCUCGUGCCGUGAGGUGUCGGGUUAAGUCCCAUAACGAGCGCAACCCUUAUCGUUAGUUGCCAUCUGGUAAUGCAGGGGACUCUAGCGAAACUGCCACCGUAAGGUGAGAGGAAGGUGGGGAUGACGUCAAAUCAGCACGGCCCUUAUGUCCAGGGCUACACACGUGUUACAAUGGUCGGUACAGAGGGCAGCUACCUGGUGACAGGAUGCUAAUCUCGAAAACCGGUCUCAGUUCGGAUCGAAGUCUGCAACUCGACUUCGUGAAGCUGGAUUCGCUAGUAAUCGCGCAUCAGCUAUGGCCGCGGUCGAAUACGUUCCCGGGCCUU